AUUGAACGCUGGCGGCAUGCCUUACACAUGCAAGUCGAACGGCAGCACGGGAGCUUGCUCCUGGUGGCGAGUGGCGAACGGGUGAGUAAUGCAUCGGAACGUACCCGGAAGUGGGGGAUAACGUAGCGAAAGUUACGCUAAUACCGCAUAUUCUGUGAGCAGGAAAGAGGGGGAUCGUAAGACCUCUCGCUUUCGGAGCGGCCGAUGUCGGAUUAGCUAGUUGGUGGGGUAAAGGCCUACCAAGGCGACGAUCCGUAGCGGGUCUGAGAGGAUGAUCCGCCACACUGGAACUGAGACACGGUCCAGACUCCUACGGGAGGCAGCAGUGGGGAAUUUUGGACAAUGGGCGAAAGCCUGAUCCAGCCAUGCCGCGUGAGUGAAGAAGGCCUUCGGGUUGUAAAGCUCUUUCGGCUGAAAAGAAAUCGCACAGGCUAAUACCUUGUGUGGAUGACGGUAUCAGCAUAAGAAGCACCGGCUAACUACGUGCCAGCCGCCGCAGUAA
rnacentral:rRNA from 1 species